rnacentral:rRNA from 1 species
UGCCAGUAGUCAUAUGCUUGUCUCAAAGACUAAGCCAUGCAUGUCUAAGUAUAAAUGUUAUACAGUGAAACUGCGAAUGGCUCAUUAAAACAGUUAUAGUUUAUUUGAUAAUCGAAUUUACGUGGAUAACCGUGGUAAUUCUAGGGCUAAUACAUGCUGGUUAGCCUGACUUCGAGGAAGGGCUGUAUUUAUUAGAUAACAAACCAAUAUUCCCCGUGUCUAUUGUGAUGACUCAUAAUAACUGAUCGAAUCGCAUGGACUUUGCCCGCGAUACAUCAUUCAAGUUUCUGCCCCAUCAGCUUUCGAUGGUAGUGUAUUGGACUACCAUGGCUUUAACGGGUAACGGAGGAUUAGGGUUCGAUUCCGGAGAGGGAGCCUGAGAAACGGCUACCACAUCUAAGGAAGGCAGCAGGCGCGUAAAUUACCCAAUCCUGACUCAGGGAGGUAGUGACAAGAAAUAACGGACCGAGGCAUCUGCUUCGGGAUUGCAAUGAGUAGAAUUUAAACCCCUUUACGAGGAUCAAUUGGAGGACAAGUCUGGU